rnacentral:rRNA from 1 species
UACAGAGGGGGCAAGCGUUAUUCGGAAUUAUUGGGCGUAAAGCGCACGUAGGCGGCCGAAUAAGUCGGGUGUGAAAGCCCUGGGCUCAACCCAGGAAGUGCACUCGAAACUGCUCGGCUUGAAUAUGGAAGAGGGUCGCGGAAUUCCCGGUGUAGAGGUGAAAUUCGUAGAUAUCGGGAGGAACACCAGUGGCGAAGGCGGCGACCUGGGCCAAUAUUGACGCUGAGGUGCGAAAGCGUGGGGAGCAAACAGG